GGAGAGAUGGCUCAGUGGUUAAGAGCACUGGAAUGCUGCUCCAGAGAACCUGGGUUCAAUUCUCAGCACCC
rnacentral:tRNA from 1 species